GACGGAGGAGGCAAGCGUUAUCCGGGAUUAUUGGGCGUAAAGGGUACGUAGGCGGCUGGUCAAGUCUGGGGUCAAAGGCCACAGCUCAACUGUGGGAAGGCCCUGGAAACUGACCGGCUAGAGUGAGGUAGGGGUUGCGGGAAUUCCCGGUGUAGCGGUGAAAUGCGUAGAGAUCGGGAAGAACACCUGAGGCGGAAGCGCGCAACUGGGCCUCAACUGACGCUGAGGGACGAAAGCUAGGGGAGCGAAGGGG
rnacentral:rRNA from 1 species